GACGAACGCUGGCGGCGUGCCUAAUACAUGCAAGUCGAGCGAGAGCGACCGGUGCUUGCACUGGUCAAUCUAGUGGCGAACGGGUGAGUAACACGUGGGUAACCUGCUCAUCAGAGGGGGAUAACAUCCGGAAACGGAUGCUAAAACCGCAUAGGUCUUCGAGCCGCAUGGCUUGAAGAGGAAAAGAGGCGCAAGCUUCUGCUGAUGGAUGGACCCGCGGUGCAUUAGCUAGUUGGUGAGGUAACGGCUCACCAAGGCCGUGAUGCAUAGCCGACCUGAGAGGGUGAUCGGCCACAUUGGGACUGGGACACGGCCCAAACUCCUACGGGAGGCAGCAGUAGGGAAUCUUCCGCAAUGGACGCAAGUCUGACGGAGCAACGCCGCGUGAGUGAAGAAGGUUUUCGGAUCGUAAAACUCUGUUGUUAGAGAAGAACAAGUGCUAGAGUAACUGUUAGCGCCUUGACGGUAUCUAACCAGAAAGCCACGGCUAACUACGUG
rnacentral:rRNA from 1 species